rnacentral:rRNA from 1 species
AGAACAACAGGGAUUGCCUUAGUAACGGCGAGUGAAGCGGCAACAGCUCAAAUUUGAAAUCUGGCCCCCUUGGGGGUCCGAGUUGUAAUUUGUAGAGGAUGCUUCGGCGUGGGCCCCGGUCUAAGUUCCUUGGAACAGGACGUCACAGAGGGUGAGAAUCCCGUACGUGGCCGUGGGCACUCGCCAUGUGAAGCUCCUUCGACGAGUCGAGUUGUUUGGGAAUGCAGCUCUAAAUGGGAGGUAAAUUUCUUCUAAAGCUAAAUAUUGGCCAGAGACCGAUAGCGCACAAGUAGAGUGAUCGAAAGAUGAAAAGCACUUUGGAAAGAGAGUCAAAAAGUACGUGAAAUUGUUGAAAGGGAAGCGCUUGCAACCAGACCUGUCUGCGGUUGCUCAUCCGGGCUCCUGCCCGGUGCACUCUUCCGCAGUCAGGCCAGCAUCAGUUCUGGCGGUCGGAUAAAGGCGGCGGGAAUGUGGCUCCUCUCGGGGAGUGUUAUAGCCCGUCGUGCAAUGCGGCCAGCCGGGACUGAGGUCCGCGCUUCGGCUAGGAUGCUGGCGUAAUGGUUGUAAGCGGCCCGUCUUGAAACACGGACCAAGGAGUCUAACAUCUGUGCGAGUGUUUGGGUGUCAAGCCCAGGCGCGUAAUGAAAGUGAACGGAGGCGGGAACCUUAGGGUGCACCGUCGACCGAUCCUGAUGUCUUCGGAUGGAUUUGAGUAAGAGCAUAGCUGUUGGGACCCGAAAGAUGGUGAACUAUGCCUGAAUAGGGUGAAGCCAGAGGAAACUCUGGUGGAGGCUCGCAGCGGUUCUGACGUGCAAAUCGAUCGUCAAAUUUGGGCAUAGGGGCGAAAGACUAAUCGAACUAUCUAGUAGCUGGUUCCUGCCCGAAGUCUCCCCUCUCAGGAAUA